rnacentral:misc_RNA from 1 species
AAGUCGUAACAAGGUUUCCGUAGGUGAACCUGCGGAAGGAUCAUUAACACGUAUCUCACGUUUAUAAACCCAAUGUGAACUCGUAUAGUCGCUUGAUGUGACGAGAGCAUUUGAUCUUCGGGAUCAAGAGUCAAACACAAAAUGGUAGAGAGAGCUUCGGUUCUCUGUUUGACUUUCUCUUGACACGCUUAGUCGAGCGGCGCUUUGUUUUUUCCCUACCAUUUUAAACCCUAUAUUAUUAACCCCAUUUACCUUUUACUGGUACUAAACUUUUAUGGUUAUCUUUAUCUUAACGGAUGGAAAUAGCUUAUAUUACGAAAACAAAGAACAACUCUUAGCAACGGAUAUCUUGGUUCUC